GCCCGGCUUGCUCAGCCGGUAGAGCAUGAGACUCUUAAUCUUGGGGUCAUGGGCUCGUGCAUCAUGUUGGACG